rnacentral:rRNA from 1 species
UACGUAGGGUCCGAGCGUUGUCCGGAAUUAUUGGGCGUAAAGGGCUCGUAGGCGGUUUGUUGCGUCGGGAGUGAAAACACGGGGCUUAACCCCGUGCCUGCUUCCGAUACGGGCAGACUAGAGGUAUGCAGGGGAGAACGGAAUUCCUGGUGUAGCGGUGAAAUGCGCAGAUAUCAGGAGGAACACCGGUGGCGAAGGCGGGUCUCUGGGCAACAACUGACGCUGAGGAGCGAAAGCGUGGGGAGCGAACAGG